rnacentral:rRNA from 1 species
UACGAAGGGGGCUAGCGUUGCUCGGAAUCACUGGGCGUAAAGCGCACGUAGGCGGCCUCUUAAGUCGGUGGUGAAAUCCUGGAGCUCAACUCCAGAACUGCCUUCGAUACUGGGAGUCUCGAGUCCGGGAGAGGUGAGUGGAACUGCGAGUGUAGAGGUGAAAUUCGUAGAUAUUCGCAAGAACACCAGUGGCGAAGGCGGGUCUCUGGGCCGAUACUGACACUGAGAAGCGAAAGCGUGGGGAGCGAACAGG